AAAAAAAUAAAAAUAAAUAAUAAGUAAAAAGGGUAACAGAAAAACCUGCCUUGCAAAGACUGACUGUGGUAACCACAGAACAUGGAGAAAGUUUAAGCACCUGUAUAAAAUAAAAGAUGUAUGGCAUGAGGAAAGCAAUAUCGGUAUAAUGUUAUCAUCUCUCUCAUGGUGGCCCACCAUUCUUAAUCACAGGAAAAUGAAGGUUACGUCAUAUCUGCAGCAUGUGUUAUGAAGCAGCCAAGUGUAGAGGAAGUUUUCUGUUUCAGCAGGUUGAGGUUCAUCAUGGUGGCCUCUCUGGCACUGGAACCAAACAUGGUACCCUUCAUCUCCCUCAAGACAGUGCUCAGAGUUGUCAAACAAGAAAAAAAACAAAACAUUAUGGUUAGAGUGAA